rnacentral:lncRNA from 1 species
UUGUUUUUCCAGAUUUUUAUCCCUAUUAGUGCUUUAUCCACCUAAGUCCGUUAAGUUGAGCCUCUGCUCCUUCGGCCGUGUCGAUUUUGUGCUUGAGGUGAUCGAAAUCUUGUGAAUUUUGUGCUUGAGAUAGGACUCGUUGACCCGUUUUGUGAUAAUUAAUAUUUAUCAUGUCUAAUAGAAAGUGUUGUGUUCCCGGAUGUACAAAUGGCUUAGGUAAGCAUUUAUCAACAUCCUUAAAACAAAUAGUCGUCAUUUUGUCACGACUCCACUGAAUUCUAACUUGUUACCCUUUUUUUCAGACACUACGGGGUAUUUACAUAAAUUCCCUAAUCCAGAUAAGGAUAGGCAGCUAUUUAAUACAUGGGUCUUUCAUAUUGGUGGUGACAUUUUGCAACUUGAAAAUAACCAUAUUUUCAAAUACCGCCGCGUCUGUAAUGAUCAUUUCGAACCAAAAUAUUGGUGCCGGAAUAACCGACUUGCCAAAGGAGCUGUACCUACAAAAAACAUGCCAGGAUUAUCUUGCUCGAAAUUCAGCAUUGAAAAAAGAGCACUAAGACCUCUUCAGAUUUCAGGACCGUCUACAUCAAAAGAACCUGCGCAUCUACAUAUACACUCACAAGGUUCAAUUGAAGAUGUACAAAUGAAAGAGAAUCUUG